ACUUCCCCAGACGAGCCAGAAGUUAGAUUAAGUGGUGUCGGAGGUUCCGACUCACGUGGGAACACCCGAUUUCUCGGGCUGAGGGGAGGAAGUGCCUUUUGUCUUCGGAGCUCGGCAAAUGCCAAAAGCUCUCAUGCAAAACCUGUGACUACCAUUAAAUUCUUCUGGAAAGCGAUGUUCGGAGUCUGGUCGAAACCGAAACACUCAUUCACUAUCCACUUUUCCUUAUGCAGGCGGACGGAGGGAAAAGGCAAAA